CGCACCUUGCACCUCUUGGUAUUCCGAGAGGUACAUCUGUUUGAGUGUCAUGAAACCCUCAACCUCUACAUUUUCUUGUAAAAUGCGGAUGCGUUGGAUGUUGAGCGUUGCUGUUUCACGACAGCUCGCUUUAAAUGUAUAAGCAAUCUCUGUACUGCUCGGAUUGACUUGACGUGAUAAGAUCUUCGUCGAGGAUGCUUUACAGCAGCCGGAUCGUAUAAGAGUCGCUACUAAACCCGCACUUGUGCACCCUUUAAAUUUAGACCUCAAAUCAGAUGGGACUACCCGCUGAACUUAA
rnacentral:misc_RNA from 1 species